GGAGGAAAGCAGGGGAUCGCAAGACCUUGCGCUUUUGGAGCGGCCGAUGCCUGAUUAGCUUGUUGGUGAGGUAAAAGCUCACCAAGGCUUCGAUCAGUAGCUGGUCUGAGAGGACGACCAGCCACACUGGGACUGAGACACGGCCCAGACUCCUACGGGAGGCAGCAGUGGGGAAUUUUGGACAAUGGGGGCAACCCUGAUCCAGCCAUGCCGCGUGAGUGAAGAAGGCCUUCGGGUUGUAAAGCUCUUUCAGCCGGAACGAAACGGUUACGGUUAAUACCCGUGACUACUGACGGUACCGGAAGAAGAAGCACCGGCUAACUACGUGCCAGCAGCCGCGGUAAUACGUAGGGUGCGAGCGUUAAUCGGAAUUACUGGGCGUAAAGCGUGCGCAGGUGGUUUUGUAANUCAGAUGUGAAAUCCCCCGGCUUAACCCUGGGAACUGCGUUUGAAACUACAAAGCUAGA
rnacentral:rRNA from 1 species